UCCAAUUCUGCACGGGGUCUCACGGACCCCGCGAGACAGCGCUCGGAGCCUGUGUUUCGUUCCAAUUCUGUACGGGGUCUCACGGACCCCGGGAGACAGCGCUCGGAGCCUGUGUUUCGUUCCAACUCUGUACGGGGUCUCACCGACCCCCGCGAGACAGCGCGCGGGGCCUGUGUUUCGUUCCAAUUCUGUACGGGGUCUCACGGACCACGCGAGACAGCGCGAGGUGCCACUGUUUGGUUCCAAAUCGAGACGGGGUCGCUGGGACCGUGCGUGACAGCGCGAGGUGCCUGUGUUUGGUUCCACUUCUGUUCGGUGUCUAAUGGACCCUGCAAACAGCGCGCGGAGCCUGUGUUUCGUUCCAAUUCUGUUCGGGGUCUGACGAAUCCCGCGAAACAGCGCGCGGAGCCACUGUCUGGUUCCAAUUCUGUAUGGGGUCUCACGGAUCCCCAGAGACAGCGCGUGGAGCCACUGUCUGGUUCCAAUUUGGUUCGGGGUCUUAGGGCCCCGCGAGACAGCGCGCGGAGCCACUGUCUGGUUCCAAUUUUUUUUUGGGGUCCCCACGGCCCCCGGAGACAGCGCGCGGAAGCACUGUCUGGUUCCAAUUUUGUUUGGGGUCUCACGGACGCCCAGAGACAGCGCGCGGAGCCACUGUCGGGUUCCAAUUCUGUUCGGGGUCUCACGGACCCUCAGAGACAGCGCGGGGAGCCACUGUCUGGUUCCAAUUCUGUUUGGGGUCUCACGGACCCCCAGAGACAGCGCGCGGAGCCACUGUCUGGUUCCAAUUUUUUUUGGGGUCUCACGGACGCCCAGAGACAGCGCGCGGAGCCACUGUCUGGUUCCAAUUCGGUUCGGGGUCUCACGGACCCCCGGAGGCAGCGCGGGGAGCCACUGUCUGGUUCCAAUUCGGUUCGGGGUCUCACGUACGCCCAGAGACAGCGCGCAGAGCCACUGUCUGGUUCAAAUUCUGUUCGGGGUCUCACGGACCCUGCGAGACAGCGGGCGGAGCCACUGUCUGGUUCUAAUUCUUUUUAGGGGUCUCACGAACCCCCAGAGACAGCGCGCGGAGCCACUGUCUGGUUCCAAUUCUGUUCAGGGUCUCACGGACGCCCAGAGACAGCGCACGGAGCCACUGACUGGUUCCAAUUCUGUUCGGGGUCUCACGGACCCCCAGAGACAGCGCGCGGAGACAGCUGGCGGAACUAUUUAUUCUUUUAUUUUAUUUUUUCCCUCCUUAGUAUACAUUUUUACCAGAUUUUCACUGAGACUCUUUUCGUGAGAGAUGAGGGUCGGAUGCUUCUUUUCAUGGUAGGAGUCUCAGAACUCAGGUUAGUGUCCCUAAACUUCGGUCGGAGCUCUUUGUAAGCCCCCUUGUAACUAACUCAACAACUAUACAUAUUUUUUUCUUUCUUUUUCCUUUAUUUCU
rnacentral:lncRNA from 1 species